CUGACCAAAGAAGCUUACAAUCCUAAAGGGAUGAAAGAGAACUUGUAUUUUAUGUUCUUUUUUUAAGUCUGUGAGGAUGCAACACACACUUUUAAUGUGGUUCUAAGUUUGUAGUAAAGUACUUACAGACUUUACAUAUGAUUUAGCGAUUAUUUUAUUGUGCAGAACAAUUUCCACACAAAUUCCCUGAAUUUAUUAUGAGAAAUCCAC